rnacentral:rRNA from 1 species
UACGAAGGGGGCUAGCGUUGCUCGGAAUUACUGGGCGUAAAGGGCGCGUAGGCGGAUAUUUAAGUUAGAGGUGAAAGCCCAGGGCUCAACCCUGGAAUAGCCUUUAAUACUGGAUAUCUUGAGUUCGGGAGAGGUGAGUGGAAUGCCGAGUGUAGAGGUGAAAUUCGUAGAUAUUCGCAAGAACACCAGUGGCGAAGGCGGCUCACUGGCCCGGUACUGACGCUGAGGUGCGAAAGCGUGGGGAGCAAACAGG